rnacentral:lncRNA from 1 species
AUUUUCAAUUCAGUUAUUUUUUAAAAAAAUUUUCUUAGAUUGUUUUCUUUCAAUUUGGGGGUUGACUAGGUGCAUGCAAAUAUAAGUUCCACCCUUGUUAAUAUACAAUGGACUAAUGUGCGUGCACAGGUAUAUUUGUAUAUGAGAUGGAGAAGUGGACAACUAACUCUUAAAACUUUUGAGUAGUGCUAGGGAGAGAGAGAAAUGAGAGAACUACGAGAGAAAUGACAGCGGUUGCUGUCGUUUCACUUCUCAUUUCUCUCGGCAAUUGAAACAAUAAAAAAAUUUAAAAAAAUGAAUAAAGAUGAAACAAUAAAAAAAUGAAAUCCAAACUUUUUCUUUAGCCAGGCUUCCCUCAUCCACUCCUCUCUCUUCACGCAAAUCACCAUCAUUGUUCACGGCAAAGCACCCCUCACGGCGACGCACCAUCAUCGUUCAUGGCAAAGCACGCUUCCUCAUCCACUCGUCUCUCCUCACGAAAAAUCACCAUCACCGUUCACGGCAAAGCCCUCAUCCUCGUUCGCGGCAAAGCACUCCUCACGGCGACACACCAUCAUCGUUCACGGCAAAUCACUCCUUUCGUCUCUCUUCCUCAUGGUCUCUCCUCCUCACGGCAAAACAACAUUGUUUUUGUCUCCCUCCUCUGUCACAAGCUCACGGCAAAGCACCGUUUUUGUGUCCUCCUCACGACAAGCAGCAUUGUUUCCCUCUUUCUCUCUGCAAACAUUAAGUAAGCAAAAUCGUGCCUUUUUUCAACUUGUUUUUUUUUUCUUUUACUUUUCUUGCAUUUUCUCGGCAAACAAUAAAUAAAUGGAAUUUAAGCUUCUGGAAUUUAAGCAAUGCAAGAUAUGAUAGGUUGCUGUGAUUUUCUGUAAUAAGCUUCUUGAAUUUUUUUUUUUUGACAUUUCUUCUGCAGGUUCGAAACUAAUUGAAAAAUAAUUGAUUGAUGUCUGAAUUUCUGUUUUGACAUUUCCGUGAAAGAUCUGGUUUUUGGUGGGUGUGUUGGAUUUGGGGUUUUUUUUUUUUUGGGUCUAGUUGGGUGGUUUUUGUGCAGAAUUGGAAAAGUUGGGUAGAAUUGCUGUGAAUUUUGAUUUAGAUUGCAUGCUUAGUGAAAGAAAAAUAAGAACAUUAGCUCAAAUUUUAAAGUGAAUUUUCUUCUCCUAGCCUUAGUAAUGCAAUUAUAUUAUUAAUCAUCAAGCUUAUGUGUGUUACUUCUCCAACAGAGAAAAUUUAUCCGCUUUAUUAUUGAUUGGUAAUCUUAAUAUGUAUCAACAUUGAGUUUUUAUUACAUAUAAUUAUUUACAUGUGUAUGCUACCCUUCUCUCCCUUAGUAUAGAACAAUAUUGGUAUUGUCUUACAUUAAUAAGUGGCCUAUUUAUGUGUUCUAUAUAAUGUUUGCUACUCUUAUAAGUUUGAGUUUAUUAUAAUACUUUGCAGAAAUAUUUUGAAAGUAUUUGUUCGGUUAGAUAUUGAUUUAAUACCAGAUUAUUUCAGUCUUUCAAGAUGAAAACAAGAGGCAAACAAAUUUAGAAUCAUGGAUUCACAAUAUUUGGGACAGGAUGAUGGUGUUCAAGAAUCAGAGACAUUGAGGCUUACUCAUAUGUGUCAACAGGCCACAAAAUUAACUUGUAUUGCUGCAUCAUCUAAUGAAACAUAUAUGAUUUAUAUGGAUGCCAUCAAUGAAUUAUCUACAAAGUUGUCAGAGGUAUCUAAACAUACAAUUGACUCCCCAAAAAGAGAUGAUUCAACUAUUGAUACUGUUAGUAAAAAAAUCAGUUUUUCUCAUAAAGACUUUUAGGAUCGAUCUCAUAUAAUAUAUAAGAAUUCGUAAUUUAGAAAAUCAUACCUUAACAAUCCGAGAAGAUGAACAAUCGAAAGUAAUCUAGGCUCCAAAUCACGAUCCGUCACCACAACUCCUGUUAGAUCACAAUCCGUCACCACCACUCCUGUUAGAUCAUGAUCUGUUACCACUAGUCUUAUUAGAUCAUGAUCCACCACCAAAUAAUCUUUCAGGUUAUGACUCAAGUUUGAUUAGUACUGGACGUGUGGGCAUCCGUUUCACAACAUCUAAAACAACCGGCUUCUUUUGUAGUGUUUUUCUCAAAACGUGUAUUUUGGAAUACCGUCCCAUUUCUUCUUGAGAAAAAUACACUUAUAUAAUAUCUCUUGUAAAACCCUAGAUAUGUAUUAUCCUUUAUUAUAAUUCAAAAUAAUAAAUAUUUUGUAUUUAAUAUUAUCUCUUCACUUACGUGAAAGUGGAGAUAAUGUGUAACUGCUUUGGGGCCCCACCUUGUAAAAUAACAUAAGACCCCAUUUACACAUGAAUAUAACACAUAAGAUCUUAAUAAAUAUAUAAUUAGGUUGAUUAUCUAAUAUGGCAGUUUUCUUACUUUUAGGCCUAGUAGUGGUGCAGUCAAUUAAAUGAGCUAACCCGAGGAUCAUUUGAGAACAUACAAUAGUGGCUACAAUAAUUAAGCAUGUAAAUGAGCAAGCCUAAUCAUUUAAUUCCAACUCUACUCCACUAUAAGAUUGGAACUAACCUCCAUAAUUGUAUGCUCAAAUAUUAAUUCGUCCCAAGCUACAUUGAUCUCUUUACUGUAUAAUUCUUUGUACCAUAUUGUUAAUUAAAUCGAUAUCUUAACUGUCCAAUCAAUUUAAUUACAUCUUGCUCCUUGAUACUCAUUUAAUUCCAACUCUACUCCACUAUAAGAUUGAAACUAACCUCCAUAAUUGUAUGCUCGAAUAUUAAUUCGUCCCAAGCUACAUUAAUCUCUUUACUGUAUAAUUCUUUGUACCAUAUUGUUAAUUAAAUCGAUAUCUUAACUGUCCAAUCAAUUUAAUUACAUCUUGCUCCUUGAUACUUAUUGGUUUUCUUUAAUGAUUAUUUUCAACGUACUAAAUAUGUGGAUACACUCUGGCCAGAAAAUUCUAUGAUCAAGUGCCAAAAACCCAUCAAGAGAUGUGUUGUACAAAUGCUAUAUUGUUAAUCUAUAACUUCAAUUCCCAUAAUUGCUCCCACCAAGAUACCGGGUAAUCUUGACUACAAGUGUCUGUCGUGCCCAUUGGUAACUCAAAUGGAAUAACAAUUAAAAUCAUGAAAUUAUAACUAACUCAAGAUUAAAAUUACAGUAAAAUCAUGCCUAUGAGAUUUAAUAAGUCUGAUAGUUAUUACAAAGUUAAUUAAAUCUCAUAUGUAAUCAUGUUCAAUAUAAUCGUACUAUAUCAAUAAAUUCAUACACGAUUAAGACAAAUCAUUUAAUGAAUUUAUUAUAGUCUAUACCUAAAUAAAGUGUCCAACUUUAUUUAUCAACUGUGAACUUAAUUUAUUUAAUCAUAAGAUAACUUGUAUUUAUGUCUUUUGUGAAUCCAUAUGGUGAUAACAUAAAUACAUAUAUAUGAUUAAAUAGACUUUACUCAAAAUACUAAUGCAACUAAGAUACUUGAAGAAUAAAAUAUCUCAUUUAUUUUAUUAAUCAGAAAAAUUAUUUAUUACAAUUAAAUAAACACAUAUGGUUUUAAAGAGUAUAUUUUCCCAACAGAUACACCAUCCUCAAGUAUGUUGCUUUUAGAUCCUAAUAUCUCACAAACUAAAGGUAGAAAGAGAGAGUGCAGAUUGAAGAGUGGCAUUGAGUUAUUCCAAAAUAAGAAGAAAAUGUUUUGUGCCUUAUGUGACAAAUCAAGACAUGACAAACGAAUUUGUCCUUUGAAUCCAAAAAAUAAAAUUGAGUGAAAUAACCCAGGUACUAAUUAUUUAUUCCUUUAUUUUUGUUUCGUUAUCAAAUUUUUAAUCUUGUUUUAUUAGUUUUUGUUAAUCCGUUUCCAUCAAAAUUGCAGGCCUUGAGGAGAUAUCAAAAUUGGAUCAAGCUCUGAAUAGUGAUACUGGGCGCAAAUUUUGUGAGUUCAAUUCCUUAUCACUUUUUUUUUCCUAACACUGUUCGUUAGCUAAUUGUAAUAGAAAAAUGUUAAUGUAGAAGGAAGGUAGUUUGUUAGAGCAUGUAUGGUUUAAUCUUGUUAAAAAUAUACAUUUUUGUCUUUUUUUUAAGAAAAUACAUUUUUGUUCUUUAGAAAAAUAGAAUGAAUUGUGCAUUAAUUAUUAUUUUGAAUCAUUAUUAUUGGGUAUAUACUAUAUAACACAAUUUAUUUUGAUAUUUUUGCAGGCAUAUGAAGGAGGUAAAAAUAAGUUGAUAACGUCUUUGUGAUAGUCAAAUUUUGGAGUGGAGCACUUUUAUUGAUGAGAUACAUUUUUUUUUCUUUUGGUUAUGUACUUCGUGAUUUGGAAUUUUUUUUUUUUAUUGAACAUGUUUGAAUCUUAUAAUAUCAUUUUGUAAGAGAUGAACUACUUUAUUUUGUAACAGCUGAGUUUUGUCUUUACUUAUAAAAUUUUGGCCGUACACAAGAAAUUUCCAGGCAUAAGGCACUUGUGAAUUACAAUACUGAGAUAUGAUGCAGUUUCUACAGUAGCCAAAAUAUUGCAAAGAAAUUCAAUGUAUUUAGGCCUUGCUAUUUUUUUUUUUUAAUUCCACAAGCAUAAAUAUUUCGAGCUCAAAAAGUUAAUAAAAGAGAAAGGGGAUAUACCCAUUGAAAAGAGAAAAGGAGGAAUAUAUUAAGUGAGAGAGAGAAGAAAGGGCAAUUAUUUAUUAUUAUAGGGGGCCCACUACAUUAAUUUGUUGAUUUUCAAAAUUAAAAAAAGUCAUGCUAUCUUUAAUCUCAAUCCUUAAUUAUUUUUAAU